UUUAAUGGAAGUUUUUAUAAAUCAGCAUCUAAACAGCAUACAAAUUUAUGAGGCAAUAUGGAAAGACUUAUUCCCUAUUAGACAUUUUGCAUGUAUGUUAAUAUUAAGUAAUAGGCAAAGUACAGUUUGGUUUGUUACCAUGGCAUCAUUGUAAAUGUUCAUUUUUUCUUCCAGAUUUCUGGUUGCUCUUGACUGCUUCAGUAUUGCUCUAGUUUCUCUCAGACCAUCAGAUGAGAUGACUUUCACUGCAAUAACCACACACCUAAUUGAGAAUCAAUAAGCCUUACUAAUUUUACUAAAAUACAUAAAUUUAUCAUACCCAUAAUAUACUUUGUUAUAUAAUUACACAAUAUGUCUCAAUUCUGCCAUGUCAUCCAACAAUUCCAUUGUUUCCUACAUGAAUGAAAAUACAGUGAAAAGUUUUGUCCCACCUUAAGUCAAAAAGAAUCAACAGUUGUCAUGAAGUAAUAAAGUACAACAAAGAAAUCAUAUCAUGAAAAUAACUUGAAAAGAGCAUUAGACCUUUCAUAUAUGCGAUGUGUGCCAAUCAGGUUUCCAUGGGAAAGCACCUUUCGUGUUCACUUGUAUAAAGCAGCAAUGCAUAUGGCAAAUAAAUCAGUAAUCAAAAUGUUAUACAAUUUCAGUGAAGAAAGUAUAAUGUCAGGAACUAACUUCAAUGGAGAUGCAGCAGAAGAUCUGUCACCUCUAAAUAGAAAAAAUUAUAUAAACUAUGCAUCUGUUAUAUUAGAAAAUUUUAGACAAAGUUUUUGAAAUGAACAAAAAUAAUAGGAGAUAAUGUUUUGAACUAACUCAUAAAUAGAAGGAGAGGCGAUGAUAUAAACAGGCCCACUAAACAAUGGGUCUCAAUUCCACCAUGUCAUCCAACAAUUUCAAGAUGUCCUACAUGAAUGAAAAUACAGUGAAAAGUUUUGUCCCACUUUAAGUCAAAAAGAAACAACAGUUUUGUCAUAUGAUGUAAUCAAGUACAAUAAAGAAAUCAUUAUCAUGAUAGUAAUUUGGAAAGAGCAUUGGACUUUUCAUAUAUGUGAUGGUUGUUACUUCCCUAAAUUCAUAUGGCAAAUAAAUCAGGAUCCCUGUUGCAAAUGUUAUACAAAUUGAACUUAUGAGAAGACACUAUGUCUAAAAAAAGGUACAAAACCAACAAGAAGAAAUUAGUAUAUACAAUUUCAGUGGAGAAACUAUAAUACAGUGAACUUAGACAUUUACACACAAAAUUAUCAUUUGAUUAAGAUUCAAUCAUUCGACCUUAUGUACCCAUAAAUCAAAUUUUAAUCUCUAGAAUCCUGCAGUAAGAAAAUUACAAACAUAAGUCCUAAUAUUUAUGUAGCAAUGAAAAUCAAAAAUUGUUUCAAAUGUGCUAAUUAUACUUCUAAUUCUAAUCGAAUUGAAAAUACAAACAAUAAAUUAUCUUUCCCUAAUUGAAUUUCUAAUAGCUCAAUAAAUUGUUUAAUAUUUUAAUUUGGCUUGUGAUUAUUUACUUUACUUUGUAUAAUUUCACCCUCAAAACAAAGCCCCAUACAUACCCCAUACGAUAAGUACGUCCCCCUUUGAAAACUUUUAGACUGAAUAUGAUCAAAAAGUUGGAUAUUAGUAUAAGCAAAUGGAAUGAAAUGCAUUUGAAGAACCAAAGAUCAUAAAAAUUGUAUGUUUGUUGCUUUUCACCUUGGUUGCUUCUGAAACAGAAUGAACCCUAAUUUAUGUCCCCUGUUCCGAUGUUGUUGCUACUAUGUGUGCAGCACUAUUUUAUGUGUAACUCCAAAAAACACGAAGUAAU
rnacentral:lncRNA from 1 species